ACGCACGCUGGCGGCGUGCUUAACACAUGCAAGUCGAACGGAAAGGCCCUGCUUUUGUGGGGUGCUCGAGUGGCGAACGGGUGAGUAACACGUGAGUAACCUGCCCUUGACUUUGGGAUAACUUCAGGAAACUGGGGCUAAUACCGGAUAGGAGCUCCUGCUGCAUGGUGGGGGUUGGAAAGUUUCGGCGGUUGGGGAUGGACUCGCGGCUUAUCAGCUUGUUGGUGGGGUAGUGGCUUACCAAGGCUUUGACGGGUAGCCGGCCUGAGAGGGUGACCGGCCACAUUGGGACUGAGAUACGGCCCAGACUCCUACGGGAGGCAGCAGUGGGGAAUAUUGCACAAUGGGCGGAAGCCUGAUCCAGCAACGCCGCGUGCGGGAUGACGGCCUUCGGGUUGUAAACCGCUUUCGCCUGUGACGAAGCGUGAGUGACGGUAAUGGGUAAAGAAGCACCGGCUAACUACGUG
rnacentral:rRNA from 1 species